rnacentral:rRNA from 1 species
CACGUAGGGCGCAAGCGUUGUCCGGAAUUAUUGGGCGUAAAGAGCUCGUAGGCGGUCUGUUGCGUCCGCUGUGAAAACUCGGGGCUUAACCCCGAGCCUGCAGUGGAUACGGGCAGACUAGAGGUAGGUAGGGGAGAAUGGAAUUCCCGGUGUAGCGGUGAAAUGCGUUGAUAUCAUCAGGAAUACCGGAGGCGAAGGCGGCUCACUGGGUCUCUUCUGACGCUGAGGAACGAAAGCUAGGGGAGCAAACGGG